GUUGAAAGGUUGAUAAUUUUUUUUGUAUGGGCAUUUUGAUGUUUUUUAGGGACUCCUCAAAACAGUGGGGGGAAAUCUCUUAUUAGAGUUAUUCAAAGUGUCUUCUUGAACUUUUUCAUAUGCAUGAGAGAUUUCUCACAUAGGUCAGUUCGAUGAAGCUUGAUGGCAACAGUUGUUCACUUUGAAUCAAAGAAUAACUCUUAAUUGGUGUGCUGUCAUCAACCAGAAGUUUCCAAGUAUGUGUCCUCCAAUUCAAAGAGAAGAAGCUGGAUGCAAGCAAACAUACUCAUGGUGACUCUCUGCACAUGAUGCAUCUCCAGAGAAAGUUGCUUCAACAUUCUUUUUUGUUUUCGGAACACUUCUUACAAUAUACCCCAACUACUGCAUAGCAUCCUACGUUCAUCCAGAUUUGUCCCAGGUCUGAAUUCUUGGUCUUCCUGCCACCCUCUAAUUCCACAGAUAAAGAAGAAAUAAUAAUAAAGGAAUAAAAAUCGUUUGUUUCUGUCUGACUGAAUCAUUCCAGUCUUGAAGCCCCCUGGUGGGUUAAUUAGCCCUAUUAUUAUAUUUACUAUCUCCCACACACGUGUGUGGAAAAGUGCUCCUCUUGGCACUUUUCUAGGUGGAUAAGAGAACAUUACAACAUAUGGCACUGGACUUUGCUCUUGAAAUAGAUGGUACUUUGGCAGCCUAAAGCUUGAAGGAGCUUAGUUUUUCAUUGAUAAGGGUGGAAGUGGCCUAGGAUCAUCUAUCCCUGAUGUAUGCCAGCUGUGAUUU
ensembl:lncRNA